CAGCAGCCGCGGUAACACGAAGGGUGCAAGCGUUAAUCGGAAUUACUGGGCGUAAAGCGUGCGUAGGCGGUUUGUUAAGUCUGCUGUGAAAUCCCCGGGCUCAACCUGGGAAUGGCAGUGGAUACUGGCAAGCUAGAGUGUGUCAGAGGAUGGUGGAAUUCCCGGUGUAGCGGUGAAAUGCGUAGAGAUCGGGAGGAACAUCAGUGGCGAAGGCGGCCAUCUGGACAACACUGACGCUGAGGCACGAAAGCGUGGGGAGCAAACAGGAUUAGAUACCCCAGUAGUCCCUGUCUCUUAUACA
rnacentral:rRNA from 1 species